AGCUCCAAUAGCGUAUAUUAAAGUUGUUGCAGUUAAAAAGCUCGUAGUUGGCCUUCUGGUGGGAGCGAUCGGUCCGACACUUCGUGUGGGUACUCGUAUCGUCUCCCGCCAUCCUUGGGGAGAGCCUGUCUGGCAUUAAGUUGUCGGGCAGGGGAUCCCCAUCGUUUACUGUGAAAAAAUUAGAGUGUUCAAAGCAGGCUUAUGCCGUUGAAUAUAUUAGCAUGGAAUAAUAAGAUAGGACCUCGGUACUAUUUUGUUGGUUUGCGCCCCGAGGUAAUGAUUAAUAGGGACAGUUGGGGGUAUUCGUAUUGCGCUGUCAGAGGUGAAAUUCUUGGAUUAGCGCAAGACGAACUACUGCGAAAGCAUUUACCAAGGAUGUUUUCA
rnacentral:rRNA from 1 species